rnacentral:rRNA from 1 species
CGGCGAGUGAAGCGGUAACAGCUCAAAUUUGAAAUCUGGCCUCACGGUCCGAGUUGUAAUUUGUAGAGGAUGCUUCGAGCAUGGUCUGGCCUAAGUUCCUUGGAACAGGACGUCAUAGAGGGUGAGAAUCCCGUAUGCGGCCAGGUGCCUACGCUCAUGUGAAGCUCCUUCGACGAGUCGAGUUGUUUGGGAAUGCAGCUCAAAAUGGGUGGUAAAUUUCAUCUAAAGCUAAAUAUUGGCCAGAGACCGAUAGCGCACAAGUAGAGUGAUCGAAAGAUGAAAAGCACUUUGGAAAGAGAGUUAAACAGUACGUGAAAUUGUUGAAAGGGAAGCGCUUGCAACCAGACUUGCGCGCGGCCGAUCAUCCGGUGUUCUCACCGGUGCACUCGGCCGUGCUCAGGCCAGCAUCGGUUUUGGCGGCUGGAUAAAGGCCCUAGGAAUGUAGCUCCUCUCGGGGAGUGUUAUAGCCUAGGGUGCAAUGCAGCCUGCUGGGACCGAGGACCGCGCUUCGGCUAGGAUGC